rnacentral:lncRNA from 1 species
AUGCAUUUGGUUCAUGCUAGAAACAAAAAAUCUAUUUGUAACUAACUUGAACACUUUGUUGCUUACUUGAAAUGUUACUAACCUAUUGACGCGAGGACAAAUAUUUAUGAUGAAUGCACUCGAUUACUCAGUUGGCCAUAGUUUCAAGUGGCUGUUAGCACUACUCAUAGUCAUUUGACUAACACUUUUAUAGCUAUCUUGAAUGUUACUAAUCUUUUGACGUGAGGGAAAAUAUUUGUAAUGAAUGCAACUAAUUACUCGAUCACAAUAUCAUUUGACUAAAGGAGUAGUUUAUUAUUUUUGCUCUCUUUUUCUUCUUUUUUUUUCUUUUGUAG